ACACUUCACACAAAACAAGCCUGUUGGUAGUCACCCUUUAGAUGUGUAUAGGAGAGAAUACAUGCAGGUAGAAGUCAAUGGGUUUGCAGGUGACAUUGUAUAUCAGCAUCAUUGUGGCAGUAGAUAAUAUGCACAUGUUGGUAAAUAAUUAGUGCCUUCUCUGAGCAUGAGGAAGCUAGAAGAGCAGUGGAAGAAUUAAAACUUACCAGAAUUGCCAAUCUCCCACAGUGUGACCUGCUCCAGAGUGCAGGGAAGUUGAAAGGAGGCUAAAGAAGUUUGUGACAGGAAGGGACACACAUGGAGGAGAGGCAAGAAUUAAUCAUCUUGUGUGCUGAGAGAUACCUGGGAAAUAAUCUAUACACAAGGGGCAGGUCCAUAUUUGUGGAGGUCAGUGGACAAUAUUUGGAGUUGCUUCUUACAUUGCACCUUGUUGAAGGAAGGCCUCUCAUUUCUGCUAGCCUAUGAACUUCCAUCUGAUUCCCCAAUCUCUACCUCCUAUCACUAGGUAGGAGUGCUGGGAUGAUAAACUUUCCCAACAACAUCUGUGUUCCAUAGACUGAAGGGUUGUCAGGUUUGUGUAGCCUUUUUCACACAGAGCCAUCUCCUCAGUUCCCCAAAGUCAAGACUUACGAAGAAGCAUGAAGAUACAGGACAAUGACUGGUAAAGCAAUUAAAGAAUCAUUACAAACUGUGGUUCAUACUUUAGAAUUAGUAUAGAGGCUGAGAUUCUGUUACUGUAAGAUCCUGACCUUUGUUGCAUACGGCAAUGAACUAAAAUAAUAAAAUGCGAAUUGCCAGUGU